CAGGGAGACAACAACUGAUCGUGAUGUCUGAAUAAUUUAUUUUUAGACCAUGAUCCUGUCACCUUAGGUCGAUCGGUACCUCAAAUUGAUAUUUAAUUGGUUUCUUUUAUAGCAACUAUUAAAUAGCUGAUUUCAGUUCCUAAACUUUGUCUAGGUCACACCCCGCAAGGGUUCUCCUGGGCCAUUAGCUCAGGUGGUUAGAGCGCACCCCUGAUAAGGGUGAGGUCCCUGGUUCAAGUCCAGGAUGGCCCAUCGGUGUUGGGGGUAUAGCUCAGUUGGUAGAGCGCCUGCUUUGCAAGCAGGAUGUCAGCGGUUCGAGUCCGCUUACCUCCACUGAUCGAUCACCUGUUAACCCACUCGAAGGAGAUUACUUUUUUAGUUGUGACUUAGACGUUAUUUACUUGUUCUGAAAGAACCUAGCUUCUUGCCAUUACUACUUUAAUUAUAAAAUUAUGGUAGUUGAUAAGACGCUGGGCUCACUGAGAUUCUCAAAGGAUCUCAGAGAUGUUCAGUAGAACCUUGAAAACUGCAUAGGUGAGUCUGGAAAGAAUAAAGCAUCUCAUGGAUGCAUUGUUUGAUAUAGACCUUUGAUUUUAAUUAAUUUGAUUUAAUUAAAAUCACUAUAUCGAUGAUGUCUAAUUCUAGAGCAAGAGCUGAGGCUCUUUAUGUGUUCUUUUAAUGCUUUUUGUAUUAGGAGUUCGAUCUUUAAUUUAAACCAGGUUGAUUAAUUUAGACUAUUAGAGUUAACUCUCUAAUUUUACUAAAUAUUUAGCCAAGGUGAAUUUGGGAGAAUACGUAUUCAACUACGUUUUUACACAUAUAAGAGUGAAAUUU
rnacentral:tRNA from 1 species